CCACUCUCAUGAUGUCUUGCACUGGACUCCGAUCACCCUUGAGGAUGAAGUGCCCCCUCCAGGACCUUUGACAUCUGGGGGUCUAAGGACCCU